GCCGAGUGUUGAUGAUGGACAUGAUGCGAAUACAGUUACUCUCUGUGAAGGUUCCGUUUCUGUGAAAUCCCGUGACCAGUACCAUUUGCUUGUGUGUGUAGAAGAUGGACUGCAUUCCUGCCGGCAGUGUGCCUAUACGACCACGGAUAAAGGACACAUGAAUGUGCACCUUCGCCAACACACAGGGGAGCGUCCCUUCCAGUGUCACCUUUGCCCGGCUACUUUUGUUGUGAAAGUCCGCCUCACAGAGCACAUUGGCACCCAUACCAGGGAGCGUCCUUUCUCCUGCACCCAGUGCAAUGCGUCCUUUUCAGUGAAAUGGAGCGUGACGAAACACUUGCCCACCCACACAGGAGAGCGUCCCUUUUGCUGUGUUAAAUCCUUUUCAAAGAAAUGUAACCUGAAGCAGCACAUGUGCACCCA